AGUAUGAUGAAGAUGUCAGUUGGCCGCGGACGCGUGGGAGAGCCAGCUGGAGAUCCUGGCGCUCGCUAGGUGGGUGUUUGCACCUUCGUGUUGCUCAGUGCCAACGACAACAUCGCCAAUGGAGAUACAACCGCUGAUGGAUAUUCUACCUUUCGUCUUAUUUAUGUUUUGAACCCAGGCACAAGGCGACUCCGGCUACCGGCUCAGAUAACGUACUCGAUUUUUGGUUCCCUUCGGGUCGCCACCCUGGUCAGAAGCUUCGCUCUCGGGUUGCUUCGUAUAGUUACGCCAAUGCUCUAGAAAGAUUUCGUAUUGUUCAGUUGAGGUCGAGGUGCUCGAAUCUGCCGUGGGGAGAUAGUCUCGAAGUACCGAGUUGCCCGGCAGAGGAGACGACCCGACGGAGACGUCUCCACCGACCAGCAAUGCCCACCCGAGUAUCUCCUGGAUGCAGUUCUCGGCCUUCACGGAUCAGCUGCACCAGUUCCGAGUGGAGCAGUCGUGAGAGGACCGAGUGUUCCCGAAGAGACCCAGCAUCCACUGUACCGGGAACCGUCCACGUGGGACCUCUGGUGAUUAAUGAUGACUCCGUGCUAUUUGAUAGUAAUACGCGUUUUUCUUCCAGUGAAUUAGAGACUGUGCUUUUUGUGUCUCUGGUCCAGAAGAAAGACUGGUCAGGAAUGAAUCCUGGCCUUCGUAGAUCAGGACGGUCAUGGGUCGUCCCUGUCUCCGGUGGACCAUCUCUAGGAAGUGAGACUGAAUAGGGAGCAUCCACGGGAUGGGAGGCGUCCCAUGGGAUAAUAGAUUUGGAAUUGGUACAGGAGGAAGAAGGUGGCGCGGUUAAUAUCAGUCAUCGAGUCGUCGUCCAGGAUUCAGGUCCCAGGGUGGAUCAGGGUCUAAGACAGGAGGGAAGCACGGCUGAGUGAACGUGUCCGCGUUUCCUCAAGGCGCCACCGCACUGCUCGCGUCUAUACGUACCGCCGAGCCGAGGACAAGUCACAGUGACAAUCAUCGUCGACGUCUGCUAUACGUUCGACCCUCCCACUCGGCAGGUCGAACAGCGCCACAGGAACCGCGUGAACUCUCGCCAAAGAAAUAUAUUUCAUAACGAGUUCACCGGGCGAGUUUUCAUUUCAACCGUCGACCAAAAGCCCGGCUGCCAUCUCGCUACCAAGAAACUUGAGCAAUUUCCUGUCUGCCAAGCUUGGACCAGGGUGGCUACAGUGGACUUCGGUCGAGAGGCCUUUUACCUAUGGAAAAAUAUAACAACGUCUUUUGACUGCCGUAUAACCUUAAGGCGCCCUCGUCUUUCCCCUUGACCUUUUCUCCUUUCUCGCUUGGGCUACGUUAAAUAUGCAUGUCCUGAGCCCUGAGGAGGAUUUCCAGCCGACAGUCUUCUCUAAUUAUCUCGUCGAGUCUAAUCGCGCGUGCUGGACGCGCGAACGGACGGCCUUUGAGCCGCGCUUACGGAUUCUGCCUUAACGCUUAACGCCCGGUUAAUACCUGGAACUACACUUAUGACAGCGGUUGGUACAAGGGUUGGCGAAAUUAUGCUUGUCAGGUCCAUUAUCUGGAGGCCGCAAGUAAGCAGCUCUUGAGUAUGUAUGCUAAAACGUGGUCAGAAGAGACCCUCCACAUCAAACGACGGCUCGUUGUAUUAAGUCUUUAUGGAUUAGGCCAGAUCGACCUUGGCGUUUAGUUAGCUUGACUCAAGGCAGUAUUUUCAACGGGGACUGCCAUUGACGUUUCUGCCGGAUAAAUAAACAAUCACUCGAUGCAUUUGCCGGACGAAAAUUCUCAUCGGCGAUCGAUGCGAUGCGCACCUAAUUAACAUCCCUGGUCGACGACGAGCUGGCGCACCGCACCAGACAAUUAUGCGAGCUUCGUAGCGGGGGCUGCAUUUGUCAGGGGCGGCUUGCGAAACCGCGGAUUUGCCUCAAGGGCGUCAUCGCUCACCGAGAGCCCACAGUUGGGCCCUUACCCAUUCACCCUUCAAAGUGGAAGUAACCCGCAAGGUAUCUCUACACCCUAUGACUCUCCCUUGGCAUCCCUGUUAGACACCCUUGUAAGACAGCCGACGCCCACUCAUCGCCAUUUAAGGCGGAUAAGCAGCCGCCAUUUGUAACCGUACUUGGAGAUGAAGAUGGAGACGUCUUCAACCUCGUGUCGUCAUUUGGACCACUAACAAGUAACAACUGUCAAGAGUCAGGAUGGCAGACUCAGAUUGUACCUCAGAUCAAAUUUCGAGACUGAUCGUCAUCGAUCAAUUAUACGAAUUUCCAAAUUU